CCUGGGCAUUGUGGUGAGUUCUUGUGAUCUUUGUUGCCUGGGAGGCAGCAGCUGGUGUAUUACUUGAGCUUGAGAAUUCUGAGCUGCAGGGAGGUAAACUAAUCAGGCGUCUCCACUUAAGCAAAGAGCUAAUAUGAUGAGCUUAGAGGAGCAGGAGCCAUCAGGAUGUCUAAAAAGAGGCAAACCACUCCAGGUUAGAAAUGGAGCAAGUCAAAACUUCUACACUGAUCAGUAUUGGGAUAGAGCCUGAGAGCAGCCACUGUAUUUCUAUCCUAGGUGAGAUAGGGAGACCCUCUCUCU
rnacentral:SRP_RNA from 1 species